rnacentral:rRNA from 1 species
UUCGGGAAACGUCUGAGAAGCUUAGUGGCGGACGGGUGAGUAACGCGUGAGCAACCUGCCUUUGCAACCGGGAUAACAGUUGGAGACGACUGCUAAUACGGGAUGACGUACACGGACCGCAUGAUCUGUGUACCAAAGAUGCGUCGUGCAAAGAUGGGCUCGCGUCUGAUUGGAUAGUUGGCGGGGUAACGGCCCACCAAGUCGACGAUCAGUAGCCGGACUGAGAGGUUGAACGGCCACAUUGGAACUGAGAUACGGUCCAGACUCC